GGAGGGUCUCUGGGUUGAAUGAUUUCAUUGAGAACUUCCUCAGACUCAGGGACUUCAGCUGGCUCGUGCUUGGACAGUGGGCCAGAUGCUUUAGAGUUCCUUCCAGGAAGAAGACGUCAUCUAUAUGAAGCUCCCGGAGACUUUGCAUCUGUCCUAAGUGAAAAGCAUAGAAGCGGGAAUCCCGCUUGUUUUUCUGGGCUGAAGUAUACACUUCUGGGCUCAGGCUACUGAAGUGAAAUGUGCGAAGGUUCAUCAUCUUCUUGAGCAGAGGAACAAAUGCUUUCAUGCUUUCCCGACCCCAGUCACUGAACACGUCCAGCUCCUGGAUAGAGUCCAGUUGCACAGCACGAAGAAGCUUCAGGAUUGUAAAGACAGCUUUGGAAUUGAUCAUCACCUUCUCACAGCACAGGUGUACUGAAGCUUUUCUCUUCCUGGCCCAGUUCAAGAGACAGAGUUGUAAUUCAUCGCGGGUGACACAAGACUUACUCCAGGCUUCAAAACAAAGGUGCAUGAGGAUUGUCAAGGUCGGCUUCUUCUUCCUCAACCCAGGCUUGCCUGUCUCCUUAUUGCUGGCAUCUUCUGAGUGGGCAGCCCUCAUGGCUCUGGGCCCUACAGUCCAGAAGUCCCGGUGUACAUCCCUCCAAUCCAGCAUCUGCAGUCUCCAUCUGCUGUGAGAGAAACAGGAAGCGGUCUCAGACUUAAGAUAAAGAAAGACCCAGUUUCCUA